rnacentral:rRNA from 1 species
AAUUGUAAUUCCGGUGAAGAUGCCGGAUACCUGCGACAGGACGGAAAGACCCCAUGGAGCUUUACUGUAGCUUGACAUUGGGUCUUGGUACUACAUGUACAGGAUAGGGGGGAGGCUUUGAAACCAGGACGCCAGUUUUGGCGGAGCCAUCCUUGGGAUACCACCCUUGGAGUACUGGGACUCUAACCAUAGGCCAUGAAUCUGGUCUUGGGACACUGUCAGGUGGGCAGUUUGA